rnacentral:rRNA from 1 species
GAUCCUGGCUCAGAUUGAACGCUGGCGGCAGGCUUAACACAUGCAAGUCGAACGGUAACAUAAAGAAGCUUGCUUCUUUGAUGACGAGUGGCGGACGGGUGAGUAAUGCUUGGGAAUCUAGCUUAUGGAGGGGGGAUAACUACUGGAAACUGUAGCUAAUACCGCGUAGAAUCGAGAGAUGAAAGUGUGGGACCUUCGGGCCACAUGCCAUAGGAUGAGCCCAAGUGGGAUUAGGUAGG